UGAUUUGACUUAAAGAGACAUUAUUGGAGAAUAGUUAACUCAGAUCCAAGUGGCAUUGGGGCAAAAGGCAAGCAAACUUGGAAAUACACCCGUCGCUUGUAUUCACUAGCCAGUUAUAUCAUUCUGAUGAUAAUGGUCAUAAUUAUGGAUAUAUGUGAAGUUAAAGAGGGGUUAAGUAUCGUUUUCUUGACAGAUUGGGAGAUGCUUGAUCUGAUAUAAAUAAUUGAGUUCGGGGUACAAUGAUAUGUUGUGCCAUUUUCUUUCCAGACUUUUUGUUUUUUGGGUUGAUAUCUCCAUCCUAGCUAGCCCUAAUGGAUUUCUGUUUGGAGCUCCCAGGCGUAGGUGUAUUCACUAGUGGCAUGACCUUUUUGUUUGCAUGAAUGGGAUUCAAGAUUUGAUAGCAUUAUUUAACAUAUCAAAGGCAUGAUCGUGCCCAUCAUUUGUAAGUGGGAGAUGUUAAUUAGUCCUAGUUGGGCACCCAUGAGGGCAUGUCCAUGCUUGGUUCAAGUGGGAGUUACCACUUGGUG
rnacentral:lncRNA from 1 species